AAUUUGAAAUCUGGCGCUUGCGUCCGAGUUGUAAUUUGUAGAGGAUGAUUUUGGUUAGGUACCUUUCGAGUUCCUUGGAACAGGACGCCUUAGAGGGUGAGAGCCCCGUACGAUUGGAUGCCGAGCCUCUGUAAAUCUCCUUCGACGAGUCGAGUAGUUUGGGAAUGCUGCUCUAAAUGGGAGGUAAAUUUCUUCUAAAGCUAAAUACCGGCCAGAGACCGAUAGCGCACAAGUAGAGUGAUCGAAAGAUGAAAAGCACUUUGAAAAGAGGGUUAAAUAGCACGUGAAAUUGUUGAAAGGGAAGGAUUUAUGACCAGACUUUUUCUAGGAGAAUCAUCCGGUGUUCUCACCGGUGCACUUCUUUUAGUUUAGGCCAGCAUCGACUUUCGGCGGCGGAUAAAAGCUUCAGGAAUGUAGCUCCCCUCGGGGAGUGUUAUAGCCUGUUGUAUAAUACGCUGCUGGGGGUCGAGGUACGCGCUUCUGCAAGGAUGCUGGCGUAAUG
rnacentral:rRNA from 1 species